rnacentral:rRNA from 1 species
GUGCCAGCAGCCGCGGUAAUACGUAGGGGGCGAGCGUUAUCCGGAGUUACUGGGCGUAAAGCGCCCGCAGGCGGUGAGGUACGUUUUGCGUGACAGCUGCUGGCUUAACGAGCAGAGGAUGCGAAAGACGGCCUGACUUGAGGGCCAGAGAGGGACCUGGAAUUCCGGGUGGAGCGGUGAAAUGCGUAGAGAUCCGGAGGAACACCAAAGGCGCAGGCAGGGUCCUGGCUGGUCACUGACGCUGAGGGGCGAAAGCUAGGGGAGCGAACGGGAUUAGAUACCCCGGUAGUCC